CGCUGGCCGCGCAGAACACGCUUGCCACGUACACUUCCUUCAUGCUUGUGUAGCAGCGUCACAUCUUCCAGUGACCCAGCCGGAUGUCGAAGCUUAAAGCUGCAAUAUCGGAAAAUCCCCCAGUCCAGGUUUUCAGUCCAUUUAAAAUAUCGCUCAUAGCGACGUGGUUGGAGGAAGGAGCAUCGGCUUGAGGAAACUAACCUAAGGCAGAGUAUUGUCCCAGAGUAUUUAACGGCACAAACAAAAUGGCAUCGGGAUUUGCUGAUGAGAAAAAUG